rnacentral:rRNA from 1 species
UACGUAGGGUGCAAGCGUUGUCCGGAAUUAUUGGGCGUAAAGAGCUCGUAGGCGGUUUGUUGCGUCGGCUGUGAAAUCCCGAGGCUCAACCUCGGGUCUGCAGUCGAUACGAGCAAACUAGAGUGUGGUAGGGGAGACUGGAAUUCCUGGUGUAGCGGUGAAAUGCGCAGAUAUCAGGAGGAACACCGAUGGCGAAGGCAGGUCUCUGGGCCAUAACUGACGCUGAGAAGCGAAAGCAUGGGGAGCGAACAGG